rnacentral:rRNA from 1 species
AUUGAACGCUGGCGGCAGGCUUAACACAUGCAAGUCGAGCGGUAACAGGAGAAGCUUGCUUCUCGCUGACGAGCGGCGGACGGGUGAGUAAUACUUAGGAAUCUACCUAGUAGUGGGGGCUAGCUCGGGGCAACUCGAAUUAAUACCGCAUACGCCCUACGGGCGAAAGGGGGCAACUAGUUGUUCUCGCUAUUAUAUGAGCCGAAGUCGGAUGAGCUAGAUGGGGGGGUAAAGGCCUACCAUGGGUACGAUCUGUAGCUUGUCUGGGAGGAUGAUCAGCCACACCGGGACUGGGACACGGCCCGGACUCCUACGGGAGGCAGCAGUGGGGAAUAUUGGACAAUGGGGGCAACCCUGAUCCAGCCAUGCCGCGUGUGUGAAGAAGGCCUUUUGGGUGUAAAGCACUUUAAGCAGUGAAGAAGACUCUAGGGUUAAUACCCUUAGACGAUGACAUUAGCUGCAGAAUAAGCACCGGCUAACUCUGUGCCAGCCGCCGCGGUAA